rnacentral:rRNA from 1 species
AACAUUGGAAAAUGUGGGCAAUCCUGAUCCAGCCAUGCAGCGUGUGUUAAGAAGGUCUUCGGAGUGUAAAGCACUUUACGUUGGGAGAAAGGGCCUUAGGUUAAUACUCUUACGUUUUGUCGUUACCGACAGAAUAAGCACCGGCUAACUCUGUGCCAGCAGCCGCGGUAACACAUAGGGUGCAAGCUUUAAUCGGAAUUACUGGGCGUAAAGCGCGCGUAGGUGGUUCAGUAAGAUGGGUGUGAAAUCCCCGGGCUUAACCUGGGAACUGCUUUCAUAACUGCUGAGCUAGAGUACGGUAGAGGGUAGUGGAAUUUCCUGUGUAGCGGUGAAAUGCGUAGAUAUAGGAAGGAACACCAGUGGCGAAGGCGACUACCUGGACUGAUACUGACACUGAGGUGCGAAAGCGUGGGGAGCAAAC